rnacentral:rRNA from 1 species
CCUACGGGAGGCAGCAGUGAGGAAUAUUGGUCAAUGGUCGGGAGACUGAACCAGCCAAGCCGCGUGAGGGAUGAAGGUACAGAGUAUCGUAAACCUCUUUUGUCAGGGAACAAAGGCGGGGACGUGUCCCCGGAUGAGUGUACCUGAAGAAAAAGCAUCGGCUAACUCCGUGCCAGCAGCCGCGGUAAUACGGAGGAUGCGAGCGUUAUCCGGUUUUAUUGGGUUUAAAGGGUGCGCAGGCGGUCUGUUAAGUCAGCGGUCAAAGCCCGGGGCUCAACCCCGGCCCGCCGUUGAAACUGGCAGUCGCGAGUUGGAGAGAAGUAUGCGGAAUGCGCGGUGUAGCGGUGAAAUGCAUAGAUAUCGCGCAGAACUCCGAUUGCGAAGGCAGCAUGCCGGCUCCACACUGACGCUGAGGCACGAAAGCGUGGGUAUCGAACAGGAUUAGAUACCCUUGUAGUC